CAAUAGCGUAUACUAAAGUUGUUGCAGUUAAAAAGCUCGUAGUUGGAUUUCUGGUUGCAGACACCGGUCCGCUCCUAACGGAGUGUGUACCAGGUGUUUGUGUCCAUCCUCGGGGAGAGCAUCCUUGGCAUUUAGUUGUCGAGUAUGGGAUCCCCGUCAUUUACUGUGAGCAAAAUAGAGUGUUCAAAGCAGGCUUAGGCCGUUGAAUACAUUAGCAUGGAAUAAUAAGAUAGGACCUUGGUCUAUUUUGUUGGUUGCACUCCAAGGUAAUGAUUAACAGGGAUAGUUGGGGGUAUUUGUAUUCAAUUGUCAGAGGUGAAAUUCUUGGAUUUAUGGAAGACAAACUACUGCGAAAGCAUUUACCAAGGAUGUUUUUCAUUAAUCAAGAACGAAAGUUAGGGGAUCGAAGACGAUCAGAU
rnacentral:rRNA from 1 species